rnacentral:rRNA from 1 species
CCUACGGGAGGCAGCAGUAGGGAAUCUUCCACAAUGGGCGAAAGCCUGAUGGAGCAACGCCGCGUGGGUGAAGAAGGUCUUCGGAUCGUAAAACCCUGUUGUUAGAGAAGAAAGUGCGUGAGAGUAACUGUUCACGUUUCGACGGUAUCUAACCAGCAAGCCACGGCUAACUACGUGCCAGCAGCCGCGGUAAUACGGAGGUGGCAAGCGUUAUCCGGAUUUAUUGGGCGUAAAGGGAACGCAGGCGGUCUUUUAAGUCUGAUGUGAAAGCCUUCGGCUUAACCGGAGUAGUGCAUUGGAAACUGGGAGACUUGAGUGCAGAAGAGGAAGGUGGAACUCCAGGUGUAGCGGUGAAAUGCGUAGAUAUAUGGAAGAACACCAGUGGCGAAGGCGGCUCUCUAGUCUGUAACUGACGCUGAGGUUCGAAAGCGUGGGUAGCAAACAGGAUUAGAUACCCUUGUAGUC